UACGUAGGGUGCGAGCGUUAAUCGGAAUUACUGGGCGUAAAGCGUGCGCAGGCGGUUCGUUAUGUCCGUUGUGAAAGCCCCGGGCUCAACCUGGGAAUGGCAAUGGAAACUGGCGGGCUAGAGUGUGGCAGAGGGGGGUGGAAUUCCGCGUGUAGCAGUGAAAUGCGUAGAGAUGCGGAGGAACACCGAUGGCGAAGGCAGCCCCCUGGGCUAGCACUGACGCUCAGGCACGAAAGCGUGGGGAGCGAACAGG
rnacentral:rRNA from 1 species